UACGUAGGGUGCGAGCGUUGUCCGGAAUUAUUGGGCGUAAAGAGCUCGUAGGCGGUGUGUCACGUCGGCCGUGAAAACCUGCAGCUUAACUGUGGGCGUGCGGUCGAUACGGGCAUCACUGGAGUUCGGCAGGGGAGACUGGAAUUCCUGGUGUAGCGGUGAAAUGCGCAGAUAUCAGGAGGAACACCGGUGGCGAAGGCGGGUCCCUGGGCCGAUACUGACGCUGAGGAGCGAAAGCGUGGGGAGCGAACAGG
rnacentral:rRNA from 1 species